AGUGUGCUGGAAGGGGAGCUGUGGGGGUUUGACGAGUCUGGUUGGGAUAGGAAACCCUCUGGAUCAGAUGCCUCUGGAGCGGUUCCCCAGCCCUUGGGAGAGGAUGUGCCAGCCCUGCAGUGGAGCCUGUUGUGCCGAAAGUCUUUGUUUCUCAACCGCCUGUUAUCCAAGGCCCUGCCUUCUACACAGGUGUUGAAUAUCAGUUGUACGUGUAGGAAAACUGCUGAGAAAUCGCUCCAAUUCAGUCACUGCUGGGUGACUCCUGUUUUCCUCCUUUUCAAACAGGGGAGGCUUGCGGGGAGCUCAGGAAGCUCAUGGGGAGAGGCUGCAUGUAGGUGCUUUGCUCAUCAGCACCUACCGCAUCCGUCACCAGACAUCUGAGUGAGGAAGUUUUGGUCUCCAGCUCCAGGUCCC